GUUUAAAUAGCGCCAUCGAUCGCACUCGAGUCAGAUAUCCAUUCCGUUUUUUUUCUCUCCGUAAUGUGAAAACGAUGGAAGCGUGUUUUUGUCCUGCGUGAUGUCAUGUGAUGUCAUGUCAUGUGAUGUGAUGUCAUGUGAUGUGAUGUCAUGUCAUGUGAUGUCAUGUGAUGUGAUGUCAUGUCAUGUGAUGUGAUGUCAUGUGAUGUCAUGUGAUGUGAUGUCAUGUGAUGUGAUGUCAUGUGAUGUGAUGUGAUGUGAUGUGAUGUCAUGUGAUGUGAUGUGAUGUGAUUUAUCUUGGCCUGAUGGAGGAAAUAAACAUGCAUCCAGUUACAGAUUUAUCCAGAUUUUUAUUCCCGGUGUCUGAUAAUCCGACCGGAAUAGCGAACGUUCAUUUCACGUGAACACGUGACGGAAAGAAUUUAAAUCUGUGCAGUACAGACGGAAUGAUUUGAGAAGCUGAGUGAGCUGACUGGACUCGUUUCUCGACCAAACCUCGCCCCACGCACGCGCGUAACCUCGGAUACGGUGAUGCGGAGCGGUCCGUACAGGGUCUCUCCGGGGUUUGUUUUUGUAAUCGUCGUGGCCAAAAAAACGCUCUAUUUAUUUAUUUAUUUAUUUAUUUAUUUAUUUAUUUAUUUAUUUUCAAAAUCCACGAUGCAGCUUGCAGUUUUUUUUGUUUUUUUUUAACGCGAUCCGGUGAAAUCGCAAGAAAUUCUUUCGCAGUGAUGUUUGCUGGUAAACGAGAGCUUUUAGACGCGCGUGAAUGGGAGAGGGAUUUGGCUGAAUGCACGUUAGGAUGUCACGUGACACGUCUUGGGCCAAAUCUGUUGAGUUUCCUUGAUUUUGAGUUGAUUUCUGCGCUCGGGGAAUCCCGGACGAACCGUAUGUGGAACCUUGAGGGGAAAAUUGUUCGUUCCUUUUUCACGUCUUUAAAAGCCUCGGCCUCGGCGUCCCUGUCGGUUGAUUCGGGGUUGCAGCGCAGCUGCUGAAAUUCCUGCCGCUGUUCGCACCGUGGACGUGGAGCGCGUGUUUGCAGGAGCCGAGCGACCGACGGUGUUUACGGCGCGAGAAGAAAUUCAGGGAUUUGUGGAACGGGAGCCGAGUCUGCUGCCGCGUUAUCGUCUCGGCCCCGUGUUCGGUACUUUUGGUACGGUACCGUAUGCGGGAUGCGUUCGUUUCUUUAUAUCAGAUUAUGUAAACGUCUUCUGUAGCAGGUGCAGUCGGUGAGAUGUUUACACGUUUAAAGGUGCAGUAUGCGUGUACACAAGGCUCCGCCCACAGAAUUACGGCACUUCAGCUAGCGUUAUUGUUAGCCGGACUGUCGUGACAUCACUUACGACCGCCAAGCCUUCGCCGUCCCGUUUUUCUUUGUAAUGGUUGGUUAUCAGGCUGCGCUGGGCGUUGGCUGAUUUCAGACUGAGGUGUGGGCGGAGUGUGUGGGUGUUUGGGGAGUGUCUAAAAUGGCUGACGAGGUCCAUGUUAACAAAAACAAACGGCUCAGGCUGAGGUUGUGGCUCGUUAAAAAAAAAAAAAAAAAUUUAAAAAUCAUGAUCUAAGUAUUUAUUUCUGCGUUGUACUAAAAGUAAAAACAAAAGUCUGUGAGAGUCAUGAUUCGAUUCUGGUGCGAGUGUUUUCCACAGCAGAUUCGCCUCUGACGCGAUCUGAACAGACUCGAGUGCCGUAGCACAGCGAUUAAAGUGGUUUUGGGGUAAAAACGCGAGCUGAAGGUUGUCGAAAGUGACGUUAAUCUUCAACAAAGCUAUCAGACUGGAUAUCAGGCACGACAACUGCAGCACCACGUCGUCCGCCAUCUUGUUUGAGUUGAGUCGAGUCACAUGACCACAGAUACAUCAUUAUGAAUGGAAUGGGUCUGUUUUCCCGGUCCGCGAAAGCCGCGUUUUCAAAAGACGUAGCGGGAGAAGGUGUUCUGAGAUGGAUCCGGGUUAAUGUGGACAUGGCGUCAUUAUUAAAGAGGAGCGAUUUGAUCCAGAGGAUUGAUUGGUUUCUUGUCCAGAUCGCGGUUGUUUCCUGUC
ensembl:lncRNA